GGGGGAUAUUGCACAAUGGGGGAAACCUUGAUGCAGCGACGCGGCGUGGAGGAAGAAGGUUUUCGGAUUGUAAACUCCUGUCGUUAGGGACGAUAAUGACGGUACCUAACAAGAAAGCACCGGCUAACUACGUGCCAGCAGCCGCGGUAAAACGUAGGGUGCAAGCGUUGUCCGGAAUUACUGGGUGUAAAGGGAGCGCAGGCGGGAAGACAAGUUGGAAGUGAAAACCAUGGGCUCAACCCAUGAAUUGCUUUCAAAACUGUUUUUCUUGAGUAGUGCAGAGGUAGAUGGAAUUCCCGGUGUAGCGGUGGAAUGCGUAGAUAUCGGGAGGAACACCAGUGGCGAAGGCGGUCUACUGGGCACCAACUGACGCUGAGGCUCGAAAGCAUGGGUAGCAAACAGGAUUAGAUACCCUGGUAGUCCAUGCCGUAAACGAUGAUUACUAGGUGUUGGGGGAU
rnacentral:rRNA from 1 species